rnacentral:rRNA from 1 species
GAUGAACGCUGGCGGCGUGCCUAAUACAUGCAAGUCGAGCGAAUGGAUUAAGAGCUUGCUCUUAUGAAGUUAGCGGCGGACGGGUGAGUAACACGUGGGUAACCUGCCCAUAAGACUGGGAUAACUCCGGGAAACCGGGGCUAAUACCGGAUAACAUUUUGAACCGCAUGGUUCGAAAUUGAACGGCGGCUUCGGCUGUCACUUCUGGACGGACCCGCGUCGCAUUAGCUAGUUGGUGAGGUAACGGCUCACCAAGGCAACGAUGCGUAGCCGACCUGAGAGGGUGAUCGGCCACACUGGGACUGAGACACGGCCCAGACUCCUACGGGAGGCAGCAGUAGGGAAUCUUCCGCAAUGGACGAAAGUCUGACGGAGCAACGCCGCGUGAGUGAUGAAGGCUUUCGGGUCGUAAAACUCUGUUGUUAGGGAAGAACAAGUGCUAGUUGAAUAAGCUGGCACCUUGACGGUACCUAACCAGAAAGCCACGGCUAACUACGUGCCAGCCGCCGCAGUAA